rnacentral:rRNA from 1 species
UGAGCAAUCUGCCCUUCUCAUCGGAAUAAGCGUUGGAAACGACGUCUAAUGCCGAAUACGACCUCCUUUCGCAUGAUCGGAGGUGGAAAGCUCCGGCGGAGAAGGAUGAGCUCGCGGCCUAUCAGCUAGUUGGUGAGGUAAUGGCUCACCAAGGCGACGACGGGUAGCCGGCCUGAGAGGGUGACCGGCCACACUGGGACUGAGACACGGCCCAGACCUCCGUAGGGACGG